UAUCCGGAUUAUUGGGCGUAAAGAGCUCGUAGGCGGUUUGUCGCGUCUGCCGUGAAAAGUCCGGGGCUCAACUCCGGAUCUGCGGUGGGGUACGGGCAGACUAGAGUGAUGUAGGGGAGACUGGAAUUCCUGGUGUAGCGGUGAAAUGCGCAGAUAUCAGGAGGAACACCGAUGGCGAAGGCAGGUCUCUGGGCAUUAACUGACGCUGAGGAGCGAAAGCAUGGGGAGCGAACAGGAUUAGAUACCCUGGUAGUCCAUGCCGUAAACGUUGGGCACUAGGUGUGGGGGACAUUCCACGUUUUCCGCGCCGUAGCUAACGCAUUAAGUGCCCCGCCUGGGGAGUACGGCCGCAAGGCUAAAACUCAAAGGAAUUGACGGGGGCCCGCACAAGCGGCGGAGCAUGCGGAUUAAUUCGAUGCAACGCGAAGAACCUUACCAAGGCUUGACAUGAACCGGAAAUACCUGGAAACAGGUGCCCCGCUUGCGGUCGGUUUACAGGUGGUGCAUGGUUGUCGUCAGCUCGUGUCGUGAGAUGUUGGGUUAAGUCCCGCAACGAGCGCAACCCUCGUUCUAUGUUGCCAGCGCGUUAUGGCGGGGACUCAUAGGAGACUGCCGGGGUCAACUCGGAGGAAGGUGGGGACGACGUCAAAUCAUCAUGCCCCUUAUGUCUUGGGCUUCACGCAUGCUACAAUGGCCGGUACAAAGGGUUGCGAUACUGUGAGGUGGAGCUAAUCCCAAAAAGCCGGUCUCAGUUCGGAUUGGGGUCUGCAACUCGACCCCAUGAAGUCGGAGUCGCUAGUAAUCGCAGAUCAGCAACGCUGCGGUGAAUACGUUCCCGGGCCUUGUACACACCGCCCGUCAAGUCACGAAAGUUGGUAACACCCGAAGCCGGUGGCCUAACCCCUUGUGGGAGGGAGCUGUCGAAG
rnacentral:rRNA from 1 species